CACGUAGGGCGCAAGCGUUGUCCGGAAUUAUUGGGCGUAAAGAGCUCGUAGGCGGUCUGUUGCGUCUGCUGUGAAAACCCGGGGCUUAACCCCUGGCUUGCAGUGGAUACGGACAGACUAGAGGUAGGUAGGGGAGAAUGGAAUUCCUGGUGUAGCGGUGAAAUGCGCAGAUAUCAGGAGGAACACCGGUGGCGAAGGCGGUUCUCUGGGCCUGUACUGACGCUGAGGAGCGAAAGCGUGGGGAGCGAACAGG
rnacentral:rRNA from 1 species